GACACAAGGAAAAUGAACAAUAACAAAAAAUAAAACAACAACAGCCGCAAAAUACAACUGCGCUGGACCGUGGUGAAGGUGUUGUUUACAUGCAACUACAUAGUAGGCAGCACUGCAGCUAAACAAUAGCAGCUCAGGGCAGCAAAGCUCUGAAAUUGAGUUAAACAAGGCGGCGGGCGAGUAGAAACCCAAACUAGCAGUGUACUCGAGUAAUCGGGCAUGGGGGUGCUAAAAUGAUAUUGCACAAGCCCAACCGCUUCCCUCGCCCGCCCAAUUGGCCACCAAGCCCCAGCUCUCACUGCCGCAGUAGAAAAUGAAAUCGAAACCACAGGCAACAACAGACAACCACAGCGCCACCUGCUGGUGUUGUAUCCGAACCUACUAACUACUAGCUCACUACUUGUGGGCUACGAACACGGACUGGGAACAUGGAGUUGGACAAGACUGGCUGGUCAUAUAAAAGGGCGAUUCAAUGGCAAGAUAUUUGAAUUUUAAAUAUGAAAUGAACGAAAUAAAGACAUUUACAUUGCUUCAUUGCUAAAAUGACACAGCAAAGGCAAUAGU
ensembl:ncRNA lncRNA:CR46248 long non-coding RNA:CR46248